GACGGAGGAUGCAAGUGUUAUCCGGAAUCACUGGGCGUAAAGCGUCUGUAGGUGGUUUAAUAAGUCAACUGUUAAAUCUUGAGGCUCAACCUCAAAAUCGCAGUCGAAACUAUUAGGCUAGAGUAUAGUAGGGGUAAAGGGAAUUUCCAGUGGAGCGGUGGAAAUGCGUAGAGAUUGGAAAGAACACCGAUGGCGAAGGCACUUUACUGGGCUAUUAUUAACACUCAGAGACGAAAGCUAGGGUAGCAAAUGGG
rnacentral:rRNA from 1 species